AAAAUCCGUCGACUUAAAUCGGCCCCUUAUCCCCA
rnacentral:tRNA from 1 species